GGUCAACACACACACACACAUUCCCUUAAUGAAGCCACAGUGAGGCACAACAGAUUCAAACUGAUGGAAACAUGAUCAGGUCAGAGGUCACAUUCUGCUCCUAGUGAGGCAGAAGCUAUCAAUAAUCAAUCAGUUUGAUUAUCUGCUCCAUCAUCAGUCAGCAAAAAAACAACCAGGAUGUUUGUAAACUGGAACAUAAACUUCUGUUUCUCACUGGGAAAUUGAAGCUCUUGAACUUCCUGGAUGUCCCACAGCUGUUGCUGUUUGUGUGGCCAUUGCCAUGACGACCAUGGUCCACAUCCAGCCAGACAGAACCAGCAGCUCCUGAUAGACCGACGACUGUAAACAUGCCAAUCUGCUAUCUUAGCUAGCUAAGCUAAUGUGCUCCAGUGUCUGUCUGGAUGUACUCCAGUACCUCAACCUAGAUGCAGCCCUGGAAGGACGGCCAAGAGAGAGGACGGAUAUGAGGACGGCCAUGAGAGAGGACGGAUAUGAGGACGGCCAUGAGAGAGGACGGAUAUGAGGACGGCCAUGAGAGAGGACGGAUAUGAGGACGGCCAUGAGAGAGGACGGCCAUGAGAGAGGACGGAUAUGAGGACGGCCAAGAGAGAGGACGGCCAUGAGAGAGGACGGAUAUGAGGACGGCCAUGAGAGAGGGCGGAUAUGAGAGGUCACUUUUAAGACUCCGUCUCACCAGCCUGCAAGGAUAAGCAGGUUCAGAUAGUGGAUGGAUGGAUGUCUGUCUGUCUCUGUCCAUCUGUCUUUGCUGAUCCAGUUUUCCCUGCUCUCUGUCUGUCAGGCGUCUCUUUGUGUUCCAUGAUUUUAAACUGAAAUAAAGCGACUAGAGAUUA